UAGUCAGUAAAUGGUAAGCAUAAACCAUUAGGCUUGAAAUGAUCAAUUUCCUCAUUAACAAUAGUAUCAUUAUAGCUGUGCAUCUCGAGAGAAUCAUCUUGUUGACUUUAAAUUAUCUAUUCGAUUUUAAGUUUGUAGAGCUGUAAUAUAUCAUUGAUGUCCAAGUGUGUUAAGCAUGAAUCUUCUUGCUUAACAUUGUUGGUUGGGCGUAAGAUUAGCUACUUGAACUUUCGCCCUCGACAACUACUACAGUAUGGUAGAACUCGAUUUCUUUGUCUUUAAAAAGUCUUUGACAGAUGGAUGAUUGAAUCCCAAGGAGGGACUUUUCGAUAGGAGAUUUCGACAGUGGAAAAAUGUUACGGAAAUCACCUAAAAGUUCAAACUACAUGUUCAUCAUUGACAUUCCCUUGAUAAUACGAGAUGACACAUGUUCAUCAGUAACUUAUAUGUGAUUUCUCCAAAAAGGAGUCAAUAGAUGAGGAGAGAAAAUGGAUGGAGUUUGCCAAUUUGUUAGAGAUGGGCAAAGAAUAUACGAUUUCCACGACAUGCUACGUCUACAGGAAUGCCAAAUUAUGAAUGACGAAGUGGGUGGGAUUCGCUAAUUUGUUACAGCAUUUCUUGCCUGGAUUUGAGUUGGGCCUUGAAGAAAGCACAUGGCACACAUAUGUAUUCACAACUAUACUAUGGGGUGAGCAACUGCAGUCCAUAAAAUGGCUGCCUUAUCAGUCUGCCUUCUCGGACAUGGUUCAUCAGCCUCGACCUCGUAAAUUGUUGACAUAAUUUACAGAUUUUUCUCUUCACUUGGAUGGAACCUCUUUAGGGUUUUGUGAGAACAAGCUUCCAAGAUAUCUGAUGGCGGACGAUGAAUACGACGAUUUGGAGAUGGGGAUUGAUGAGAACAUGGAGGAAUACUCUUGCAAAUGUUGAAGGGGCG